CGUGAAAAAUAUCGGAAUGGAAUGCAAAUAUAAUUGUUUAAAUUCUAGAAAAAAUCACACAAACAAACUGUACUACCAGCAUUCUUUGGCCAGCUUAUAUUUCAAGUAUUGGGAAGAGAUAAAAAUGAGAAAUUAAAACACCCAAAAUAACACGAGUGAAGUGAUUUAUUUUUGCACGUAAAAUCCUUUCAUGUCUGCUGCCACGGUUUUUAGUAUUUGUGGUGCUGGAAACACCACAAAUAUCCUGUAAUAGACUAUUUUUAAGACGUAAAAAGAUUUAUCACGUUUGUAUCAAUACAAGGCAAAGUCGGUACAAAAAAGCCAAUUUUUACUGAACUUAAAUUACAUUAUAAGCAUACGAUGAAUACAUUUAACAUUACUACGCACUUCACUCAUUGAAAGAAAUGAACCUCCUUCGAGAAUAAAUCGAUUAAUGCAAUACCUAAGCAGUAGCAGCGGAAGUAGGCUUGCCAGCACCUAAAUAAAAUGUUAAUAAAUAAACGAAAAAUACAACAGGAUCUCCACCGAUCGUGCAAUUACUUACGGAAUCCGUUCUUAAAGCUGCGAUGAACCUUCUUCAAAUAGCUCAUACGGCCAGUGCCAGUAGUUCUUCUUCUCUUGGCCUUAGCACCCCAGUUGUAACUACGAGUCUUGGCAGCGGGAUAACCACAGCAUGCGCAGGUGCUCUUUUGAAUGUGGAAAGAACGCUUUCCACAACGACGGCAAAUGGUAUGAGACUUGUUAUGUCUCAUACCGAAUGAUUGAGUACCCUUAGUCAUUUUUGAAACUGCUUCUCGAAACUAUUAGGGCCGAUGGCAGAAGGUUACUGAUAGAUUUUAAUGUGUACGAUGAAUUAGCAAAACCUCGAGAAAGACAGUCACGACUACCAAACAAAGUAGCGUAUAAGUUGUGCACACUACACUACUUUAUUGAUAAAAUGCGCGAUAAGAUUACAAUGUGUUUCAGUAUUAGCACAAUAAGGUAUUUAAAACAAACCUCACUACUCUCAUAGCUCGUCUAUUGUUACUGUACUUCAAUCAUCUUUUGUUUACAUAUUUAGUGAACAAAUAUCUAGGGCGUUAUUAUUUGAUGCAUGAUGGUGAUGCUUUAGUACUUUGAACUUUUAUAUUUUACAAAAAAUUUUGACAGUAUCUAUACGAUGCUAAGAAUAAUAAUUAACUUAAGUACUUAAAGUGUCGGUUUAUAUCGGAGGUCUGUUUGUCGUAGUACUGACAGCACAUUCGAUGAUCAUUUACUUUAAGAUGUAGUUUUUCAAAACAAUAUUAUUUUUAGUUUUAACUGGCACUCCCAUGUUCUAAAAUAUGUUCCAACAAAGGAAAAUUUAAUAAAUUUUUUUUUUAAUAAAAAAAAAAAUACUUUUCAAUUGCUAUUUUGAUCUCUAAAACUUUUAGUGUUUCAAAAAUAAAGAAUUAUUGAAAUUAGGUACUCCAGCUCUGUUCAAAUAUGUCCAAGCA